AAUCCGUCGACUUUAAAAAUCGUGAGGGUUCA
rnacentral:tRNA from 1 species